GCCACUGGUCCGAGGACCGGGACACAACUUUGCGAAGGUUGAUGGCAGAGGUUCGAAUCCUCUCAGUGGCA
rnacentral:tRNA from 1 species